CCUACGGGUCGCUGCAGUGAGGAAUAUUGGUCAAUGGACGAGAGUCUGAACCAGCCAAGUAGCGUGAAGGAUGACUGCCCUAUGGGUUGUACACUUCUUUUAUAUGGGAAUAAAAUGUUCCACGUGUGGGAUUUUGUAUGUACUUUAUGAAUAAAGAUCUGCUAACUCCGUGCCAGCAGCCGCGGUAAUACGGAGGAUCCGAGCGUUAUCCGGAUUUACUGGGUUUAAAGGGAGCGUAGAUGGGUUGUUAAGUCAGUUGUGAAAGUUUGCGGCUCAACCGUAAAAUUGCAAUUGAUACUGGCAGCCUUGAGUACAGUUGAGGUAGGCGGAAUUCGUGGUGUAGCGGUGAAAUGCUUAGAUAUCACGAAGAACUCCGAUUGCGAAGGCAGCUUACUAAACUGCCACUGACAUUGAUGCUCGAAAGUGUGGGUAUCAAACAGGAUUAGAUACCCUUGUAGUC
rnacentral:rRNA from 1 species